AUGGAGUUUGGGCUGAGCUGGGUUUUCCUUGUUGCUAUUUGGAAAGGUGUCCAGUGUGAGGUGCAGCUGGUGGAGUCCGGGGGAGGCUUGGUCCAGCCUGGCGGGUCCCUGAGACUCUCCUGUGCAGCCUCUGGAUUCACCUUCAGUGAUUAUGCUAUGGACUGGGUCCGCCAGGCUCCAGGAAAGGGGCCGGAGUGGGUAGGUUUCAUUAGAAGCAAAGCUUAUGGUGGGACAGCAGAAUACGCCGCGUCUGUGAAAGGCAGAUUCACCAUCUCCAGAGAUGAUUCAAAGAACACGGCGUAUCUGCAAAUGAGCAGCCUGAAAACCGAGGACACGGCCGUGUAUUACUGUACUAGAGACACAGUGAGGGGAGGUCAGUGUGAGCCCAGACGCAAACCCCCCUGCAGGGGCGCGCGGGGCCACCAGGGGGCGCCCAGACACAAACCUCCCUGCAGGGGUCCCCGUGACCACCAGGGGGCGCGCGGGACACAAACAUCCCUGCAGGGGUCCCCGUGA